rnacentral:rRNA from 1 species
AUUGAACGCUGGCGGCAUGCCUUACACAUGCAAGUCGAACGGUAACAGGUCUUCGGAUGCUGACGAGUGGCGAACGGGUGAGUAAUACAUCGGAACGUGCCCGAUCGUGGGGGAUAACGGAGCGAAAGCUUUGCUAAUACCGCAUACGAUCUACGGAUGAAAGCAGGGGACCGCAAGGCCUUGCGCGGACGGAGCGGCCGAUGGCAGAUUAGGUAGUUGGUGGGAUAAAAGCUUACCAAGCCGACGAUCUGUAGCUGGUCUGAGCGGACGACCGGCCACACUGGGACUGAGACACGGCCCAGACUCCUACGGGAGGAAGCAGUGGGGAAUUUUGGACAAUGGGCGAAAGCCUGAUCCAGCCAUGCCGCGUGCAGGAUGAAGGCCUUCGGGUUGUAAACUGCUUUUGUACGGAACGAAAAGACUCUGGUUAAUACCUGGGGUCCAUGACGGUACCGUAAGAAUAAGCACCGGCUAACUACGUGCCAGCCGCCGCCGUAAGAC